AGCAAUAAAUUCUCACGUUAAUGUUCUCCCAUAUUUCGUAUAUUCCUUAGUUAUCUCUGAUAUACCUAGUAGAAAUUCGAUAAAAUGUGAGAAGCCGCGAAUCGGAAGUUCAAGUGUGAGUUUUCGAGCAUCACCAUCGUAGACCUCGUGCGAGGCUAGGCGCUGAAUUUCUCAUCGCGAUCACCACGUAGGCAGUGACUGUGACUCUAGCUGGCUGUGGCUGAGGAAAACAUCAGCACAGCAGACAGCAAAAGCAAACGAAGGUCGGAGCUCCGUGGCGUCGCUUACUCAACAUUGGUGAACGGUAUGUCUUGUGGCGCUUGCAACAUUACACAUAGCACGAAAUAGAGUUUCUAACGCGGUACGCUCUCUAGAAUUUCAAUCUUCAUUGCAUUAGAUUGAAAUGAGAGCGGCACCAGGUGAUUGUGUCAUCUGUUCCGUGCAUCAUAACCUCUUGUUAUUAGUACCUAGUCAUAAUGCUUGCAUACACUAAUUUCUUCCUUUCAAGUUUUAGAGGGGGAAAUGGACACCGAAAGUAGAGCAGAACAUUCUUCGUUCACUUCAAACACAGUUUUAUUAACACCAAAGUCUGAAGUCGCUGAUUGUGAUGUUGAAGUUAAGGACGAGGGCAAUACUAACUGGCCAGAAGAAUCUGGAUUGCUUGGUCACGUAAUAAUGGGCCAGCCUGUGGUAGAGUUUGAUUGGGACGUCUACAAUGUUUGUAUAUGUGGUCAUGAGGCCUACAGGCAGUAACUAAAUGUAUUCCUGACUGCAGUAUUAUGAAGUCAGGAAUUGCUAACUCACACAUCUUUGCUGGAAGCAGAUGUCAUUUCGUUGUUGAACUUCACCAAAAUGGCUAUAGUCUUCCUCAAAGAAGUUCAGUAUCAGAAAGCUACAGAAAAAUCAUGUGGUUUGCUGUCGAGAAAUGCAACUGGUACCUGAUUGACACAGCCGUCAGAAACAAACUGAGGUACCUUCUUCAAUCAGUGUCUUUUCAAAGUGGAGUUGGCAUUAAUUUUUCCAAUGAUGCAGAUGGCUCCUUAUAUCACCAAAAAAAGAUACUUGUCAAUGUGAUUGCUGCUGAUGAGGUGGAACUAAAAACUAUAUGUCCCGGAAAGUGCGAUCAUUAUUUUUGCAUGGGGUCUAUUCUUUUGAAUGCACUGAAGAUAUCGCCAUGAAUAAAGAUUGACACAACAUCAAGUAAUAGGAAGACCGAGGAACUCCUUAGUGUGCUCUCAAAUGCACUUUAUAAUUUCUACCAAGGAGAAGUACAAGGAAAUCAAAAGUCCCUUCUGCAUGAACCACCUGCUGCAACAGUUACUUCCCUAAAUGGCCGGGAAGACAAUGAAGUGGAUGAAGUGCAUACUGAUCCUUCAACUACUGAACUGCAGAGCAUGCUCCAGGUGGACAAUGAUUGGUUAAAUGAAAUAAAGCCCAACAUUGUAGCUGUUUCGCAGCCUAAGCAAUGCAGGAUUCAGAAACAUAAGAGUUUACGAGCAGAUAUGUAAAGUAAAUACUUAUUCCUCCAAUGAAAUGUAGUUAAGUCAAUGUAACAUUUUAGAAUAAUGUAUAUCUGAGUGGGUACACUAAUAAUGUGAAUGUGAUUGUUUUUCUUUCACUCAAUUUUUUACUUCUUUUGAUGUUUAUGACUAUGAAUUCAAUGAAAUGAAUCUAUGUCCAUAUCUUUACUUUAAGACAUACCUGUUUGCACAGUGCGAUUCCCUUCAAAAUGGAUUGGUUUUCUUUUCCACUCAUGAUUGUGUGUUUCUAUUACAAAUUGAAGUACACACAUGCUAAAGUGUGCAGUGUAGAUGAAAUUGAAUGUGUAACUGUAUGUUUGGGUACAAAUUGUGAAAUGAUUACACAUUUUUGCUAAAAUGGGAAGGUGAACGCCUUUUUUUACAUCAAUUAAGAAAUCUCUAUGCAACAAAGCAUUCUGUGGAGGAAAUAGUUUGCAUGCAAUUUCAAAUUGGUACGAGAACAGGAAUCGAUAUUGCUUUGCUCACUUUCAUUAUUUCCUUUUGUGUGCUUGAAAAUUAUUGUAUAUUUUGAGGUAGUAUUGAAGGGUUUUACAUAUUACAUGAAGGUUUAAGUAGUUAUUGAAAUUGUUAAAGUUUAUCUAAGUGUGAAGACCAUGCCCAGAAUAAUGGGGAGAAGGGAUUAUCAAAUUAAUGUAUUGGCUUUGAGUGUUUUAUUUGGUUGUUUUUAUGAAAAUAAAAUCUGGUUAAAUUGUGAAGAUCUUUUACACACUCUGUUGAUUGAUAUCAGUCAAUUUUGCCAGCAACGAAGCAUUCAUGACUAGUGCCUGUGACUAGUACCUCCCCUUAGUAAGCGUGACCGCAAGAGUGGUUGGAGAUACUAGUCAAAAGAAGUUACAUCAUAGUGUUGUCCGUAACCAAAGACGUAAAAGUGCACAAAGCAGUAUAUUUUGUUGAUAAAUAAACUAAUUGAGUGAUGGUACUGUAAGCUGGUCGAUCACUGCACCAUCUCUUACCUCAAUGCACAAAGCAAAACAGACAAGCAAAUGUUGUAAU